rnacentral:rRNA from 1 species
GGGUUGUGAGGUUAAGUGACUAAGCGUACACGGUGGAUGCCCUGGCAGUCAGAGGCGAUGAAGGACGUGCUAAUCUGCGAUAAGCGUCGGUAAGGUGAUAUGAACCGUUAUAACCGGCGAUUUCCGAAUGGGGAAACCCAGUGUGUUUCGACACACUAUCAUUAACUGAAUCCAUAGGUUAAUGAGGCGAACCGGGGGAACUGAAACAUCUAAGUACCCCGAGGAAAAGAAAUCAACCGAGAUUCCCCCAGUAGCGGCGAGCGAACGGGGAGCAGCCCAGAGCCUGAAUCAGUGUGUGUGUUAGUGGAAGCGUCUGGAAAGGCGCGCGAUACAGGGUGACAGCCCCGUACACAAAAAUGCACAUACUGUGAGCUCGAUGAGUAGGGCGGGACACGUGGUAUCCUGUCUGAAUAUGGGGGGACCAUCCUCCAAGGCUAAAUACUCCUGACUGACCGAUAGUGAACCAGUACCGUGAGGGAAAGGCGAAAAGAACCCCGGCGAGGGGAGUGAAAAAGAACCUGAAACCGUGUACGUACAAGCAGUGGGAGCACGCUUAGGCGUGUGACUGCGUACCUUUUGUAUAAUGGGUCAGCGACUUAUAUUCUGUAGCAAGGUUAACCGAAUAGGGGAGCCGAAGGGAAACCGAGUCUUAACUGGGCGUUAAGUUGCAGGGUAUAGACCCGAAACCCGGUGAUCUAGCCAUGGGCAGGUUGAAGGUUGGGUAACACUAACUGGAGGACCGAACCGACUAAUGUUGAAAAAUUAGCGGAUGACUUGUGGCUGGGGGUGAAAGGCCAAUCAAACCGGGAGAUAGCUGGUUCUCCCCGAAAGCUAUUUAGGUAGCGCCUCGUGAAUUCAUCUCCGGGGGUAGAGCACUGUUUCGGCAAGGGGGUCAUCCCGACUUACCAACCCGAUGCAAACUGCGAAUACCGGAGAAUGUUAUCACGGGAGACACACGGCGGGUGCUAACGUCCGUCGUGAAGAGGGAAACAACCCAGACCGCCAGCUAAGGUCCCAAAGUCAUGGUUAAGUGGGAAACGAUGUGGGAAGGCCCAGACAGCCAGGAUGUUGGCUUAGAAGCAGCCAUCAUUUAAAGAAAGCGUAAUAGCUCACUGGUCGAGUCGGCCUGCGCGGAAGAUGUAACGGGGCUAAACCAUGCACCGAAGCUGCGGCAGCGACGCUGAUGCGUUGUUGGGUAGGGGAGCGUUCUGUAAGCCUGUGA